rnacentral:rRNA from 1 species
UACAGAGGUCUCAAGCGUUGCUCGGAUUCAUUGGGCGUAAAGGGUGCGUAGGCGGCGCGGUAAGUCGGGUGUGAAAUCUCGGAGCUUAAACUCCGAAACUGCAUUCGAUACUGCCGUGCUUGAGGACUGGAGAGGAGACUGGAAUUUACGGUGUAGCGGUGAAAUGCGUAGAUAUCGUAAGGAAGACCAGUGGCGAAGGCGGGUCUCUGGACAGUUCCUGACGCUGAGGCACGAAGGUCAGGGGAGCAAACGGG